ACCAUGGACAAUAGAUCUGAAUAGGCAUUUCUCCAACGCAAAGAUACACACAUGGCCAACAGCACAUGGAAAGAUGCUCGGCAUCAUGAAUUAACAGGGGAU